GUCAUGUGACCGGCUCGCAAAACACAGCCAGACGGUUUCAGGAGACCAAAUGCCAGCUUCAUUGAAAAAGCUCCGUUAUCGAGAAUAGAGACAGGAGGGACAGACGUUUCCAGUGUGCAGACACACACAUAACAAUACACAGAAAGCUCUGGGGAACUCGGGGAAAAGAACAUUUUCACAGCCUCAAGAACUUCGGUGGGAGAAAGCAGAAAGAAGACCAAUCGUUUCAAAUAUAAAUCAAGGGCAGUGGACACGCGGGAGUUGAUUAUUCAUUCCGAUAACUUGUGGAAUUAUAAGGGUAACAAAAAUAAGAAAAAACUACCUCUCCGCCAUUUCAUAUUUGUAUUAAAUUGUUCCUUUUCUUUUUAAUUUUAUUUUAUCACCUGUCCUCGGAAGAGCUGACAGCCAGACGGUGUAGUAGAAUUGCAGUGCAUUGCGUAAAGAAACUGAACGCAGCACCAGGAGACGGAACAGCUCACUGCGUUUACCAACAAGAGACAGUGAGGAGGAGUGAGAAAGACUGAUUUAUUUUUUGUAUUCUUGUGUUUUUAUAUCAUAUUUAUUAAUUUAUAGCCUACGCGAACAUAUUUAUUUUUGUUCCAUUGUUGGUUCAGUUUGGGUCAGAUUUUUUUCUUCUUCAUUUUUUGGAAUAUGGUUGGGGAAAUGGAAUCGAAGGAGAAACCGAAGCCCACCCCAGACUAUCUCAUGCAGCUCAUGAAUGAUAAGAAACUGAUGAGCAGCCUACCCAACUUCUGCGGGAUUUUUAACCACCUCGAACGGCUGCUUGAUGAAGAGAUCAGCCGGGUGCGCAAGGACAUGUACAACGACACGCUAAACGGCAGCACAGAGAAGCGGAGCAGCGAGCUCCCUGACGCAGUGGGCCCCAUCGUGCAGCUCCAGGAGAAGCUCUUUGUCCCUGUGAAAGAGUACCCCGAUUUUAACUUCGUGGGCCGGAUCCUGGGACCACGGGGGCUGACAGCCAAGCAGCUGGAGGCAGAGACAGGAUGUAAAAUCAUGGUGCGCGGGAAAGGCUCCAUGAGGGACAAGAAGAAGGAGGAGCAGAACCGAGGAAAGCCCAACUGGGAGCACCUCAAUGAGGACCUGCAUGUCCUGAUCACGGUGGAGGACGCUCAGAACCGCGCUGAGAUCAAGCUGAAGAGGGCCGUGGAGGAGGUCAACAAACUACUGGUGCCUGCGGCGGAGGGAGAGGACAGCCUGAAGAGGAUGCAGCUGAUGGAAUUGGCCAUCCUCAACGGCACCUACCGAGACGCCAACAUCAAGUCACCUGCCCUCGCCUUCUCUUUUGCAGCGAACGCCCAGGCGCCCCGCAUCAUCACCGGCCCCGCCCCCAUGCCCCAGAAUGCCCUGCGCACGCCCACCCCGGCCGGCCCCACCCUAAUGCCCCUGAUCCGACAGAUCCAGACCUGCAUGCCCAACGGCUCGCCCCACCCGGGCGUCAUGACCCAGGGUCCCGAGUCGGGCCUCAUAUACGCGUCGCCGUACGAUUACCCCUACACGCUGGCCCCUGCCACCUCCAUCCUGGAGUACCCCAUCGACUCCAGCGGGGUGCUAGGUAAGAAUCCGUGCCCCUGCGAUUGCCCCGCAGCCCCCCACCAACACUACCACCCCCACGGCCAGUGGAACCCCGCCCCCACGCUGAUCCUGCGCCACACCUCCUAAAUAAUCCCUCCCCACCCAGUCAGCAACAGAAAAAAACAUUCCAGCUCUUUACUGCAUCUUUCUUUUCACUGUCACGAGACACUUCUCUCAUCUAAAAAGCCCUUUAAGUAAUGUGUGCAUAAAUAAAUAGGCUGUUAAGUGCUCCACUGGCUCGAUGUGAAUUAUAAGAGGGAGCUGUUUUAUUUUGGAAAAGGUCCUUACCCUCCUCUCUCCCGGUCCCCGCAUACACACGCGGCCCUAUAGCUUUGAAAAAGCCACUUUAGAAAAUCAGAUUAGAAAUAUCAUAUUACCAACACAACGUGACUCCAUUAAGAAUGCUCCCAAAGGCACAGUGUAAACCUGAACUGCUAUCAAUACAUCAAAAUGCCAACAGCAGCUUGUCCAAUUGGGUUGAGCACAUUCUAAAUAGUCAGUCUGUACCGUGUCAGCCAGUAGCAACCAGUUUUCUGCCCAGUGCAGUGGACCAAGCCUCCAACUGUGUGUCUGGGUGAAGGGGGAGGGGAGGGGGGGAGGGGGGGGGUCGAGGAGCAGCGGAGCCCAGCGAAGAUUUCACCCUGUCUCUCUCUCUUGUGUAACCAAUACAGCGUCCUCAAAGGCCGAAGAGCUGCCCCUCUACCUGGGGUUUCAGACCUGUCACUUUCCCAUCACUGUGCAGCGAGGAGAGCCCUCCAACCGGCCUCCCUUUUAAAGAAACACCCCCUUCCCUCCCUCCUUCCCUCCAUCCCCUCACACAGCACACACACACACACCUCCUCCUCCCCCCCUCCCUCCCUCCCUCCCCGCCACCACACGUUGGACUGGUCAAGGAUCGGCCCUCUCUGAACAACCACAAGCCACAUGGGGAAGCCUCAGCCCUUCCUCUUUUAACGUCUGUUCAAAGUGGCGUGUGUGUUACUGAUCAACCCUUUUUGAUUUUCCUGUCCUGAUGAUGAUGAUGAUGAUGAUGAUGAUAUAUCUGUGUAUGAUGAUGAGGGAGAAUAAGCACUGAGCCCUGAGCUGGAGCACUGAGCACUGAGCACUGAGCUGGAGACCCUCCCUUGGGGGUGUGGCUCUGGGGCAUCGGGAGGGGUAACAUGAGGUCAGGGGUCAGCGGAGGUCGGGACAGAGGGGUUACAGAGCCAAGGGAGUGGUGGGGUGUGUUGGCGACGAGGCACCUGCAGUUAAAGCAUCUACUGCAGGCUUGACAGGCUUUAUUCACAAAGGGAUUUUAGGACUUUCUGUCCCCACACUGACAGUCUUUACUUCACUCUUAUCAUAAUAUUCACCGAGUUAUUCUUUCAGCUCAAGUGUAACCACUCGAAACAACAGUCAGUGAGUGAACAACAUGGCCCUUUUUGUAUAGCGCUUUUUUUGUAUCGACUCAAAAGGAAUGUCCUAAAAUGGCUUUGGGAAUAGGGCCUGGCGUGUGAUGCUUCUCAAAGGACCGCCAGACACUCCCGGCACUAAUUCCCCGUCCCCUUCCUUUAUUCUAUAGGUGUGGCUUUCCCCCACGAAAGGCUAAAAGAAUUUCAAGGAUCCUUACUGAGCCCCUUAUUCGAUCUAAGUGUUAACACACAGACACUUUUGUUUCACAGCGGCCUUUUAGUAUAUCGAACCAUGAGUCAGGCCUAAAGCAGUACAGACAGACAGACAGACAGAUAGAUAGAUAGAUAGAAAGACAGACAGACAGACAGACAGACAGACAGACAGACAGACAGACAGACAGACAGACAGACAGACAGACAGACAGACAGACAGACAGACAGACAGACAGACAGACAGACAGACAGACAGACAGACAGACCCCCUCACUACUGAUGUUUACACUGGCCAAACCUCCCCAAAGAGGCACAGCUCUUUAUACCAUGCAUUAUGUGUGUGUGUGUGUAUGUGCAUCCUGUACACGCACAUCCACACAUGUAUAUGUUGUUUCACUGACUGCUAUGUCUGGGCUUGAGAAUCUAUACAAAUACUGUCUCGCUUUACUAAUCACUUAAUUCAUUGCCUUUUUUUUCAUUUUUUUUUAAUAAGAGAUGUUACUUUUUUUAUUACUGCAAAUGUGCCUAAAAGCUUUCGUCUCUGGGCUUUAACCAGAGAGGGAGUGAUCAGUAUUAUAUUUCCAACAAAUAACUAGAGAGAUGCACUUCCUGAUGCUCAACCUGAGAUUAUGUGACUAGUAAAGCUCCCCUCUGUGUGUGUGUGUGUGUGUGUGUGUGUGUGUGUGUGUGUGUGUGUGUGUGUGUGUGUGUGUGUGUGUGUGUGUGUGUGCGUGCGUGCGUGCGUGCGUGCGUGCGUGCGUGCGUGCGUGCGUGCGUGCGUGAAUGCAUAAAUGCCUAAUGUCAGCGAAUCUGUAGCAAGGACUCGAGGCUACUCCAUUGUCAUGGAUGUUACUAAAGUCCAAUAUGUCUCCUUGUUGCGACAAAACAUAUGAGUAUAAUUUGUGCCUUAACAUGUAUUUCUAAUGAUUUUUCUUAAUUUUUGUUAGAUCUUUGGUCAUAUAUAAGCCUUGAUGAUAUGAUGAAUUGAAUUGAUGGAAACGGUGAAGGAGGAAAUGACCUAAUCCUUGUUUUGGUCAUGUUGUUGCAAUCCGAGCAGGUGCAGUGACUACUAAAGUUCGAAGGCACGAACUGCGGGUCCAUCCUUACCAAAGGAUAGUGACCGCAGACAGAGCCGCCACUGGCAACUAACCCCUGACCUUCUGACCUCUGAACUCUUCACACAUGAUGACCUGGCCAUUGCCUGCCCGCAGAUCAGUUCUCCGGUAGAAAGAAAGAACACAUAAAGCAGCCUUGGCUCGUUACAGUCAGUCAUGGCACAGCUUCUCAUCAGCCGAAUAAUGGACACACUAUAAUGGCUUGGCGGGCCACUCCUGCCUGCCCUGUCUGCUUAAUAGGGGGACUGACCCUGGCUCUAGACCUGCACUGAAUCAUUGUUAAGCAAUAAGGUCUGAAAUGCCCCCUCUGAGCAUCCCUGAACGAGUCCCCAGCCAGGCAACUUCCAAACACACCACACCAUACUCUAAAACACCCUGGUAACGGCUGGUCGCCUCAUCCGGACUGAAGAUGAAGAAGGCGGCCCCUCCCACCCCUCCGACCGCCCAAAUCCACCGUACGCAUGUCGCCCAGGUGACUUUCCCACUGUCAUGGUAACGUAGCUGGCUCUGAAUGUAUAGCAGCGCGGUGAGGCCUUCCGAGCAGAGUGCAUGCACCUCUGUCUCUCUGUCUCUGUCUCUGUCUCUGUCUCUGUCUCUCUCUCUCUCUCUCUCUCUCUCUCUCUCUCUCUCUCUCUCUCUCUCUCUCUCUCUCUCUGUGUCCACCCAUCUAUCCUUGCCAACUGAUUACCCCUCUCCCCUUCACUGACUCUCUAUGAAAUCCUGGUUCUGUUAUGAAAUGGAAAUUGAGGGGGGUUCAUUUUAGCAGGACUUGAAGAGAGACUAGGGGUCAAACAAAGAGUAUCAAGCGUAUAGAAGGUAAAGUACCUGUCCCGUUACCUGGCAUUGUUGUUGUUUUUCUACCAUGAAGGAAGAUCUUGCAGUCAACUGUUUUUUUUAGGAUGUAAAAGCCAUGCUUGCCUAUCUGCUGUACAAAUGUAUUUAAAUUGUAGAUACAUGUGUAAAAAUGGGGGAGAGAACACCUAUGUAAAGAAAAUAGACACUUUUAUUAUACAUGGGUGCUCAUGGCAAAGAGAAAUAUCUAUUUUUCAAAAACAUAGUCUUUUAUAUCUUCAUGUAUUGUAAAGAGAAAUUAAAAAUUAAACCCUUUAUGUCAUGAAAACAAUCCUGUUUUCUUUCUGUGGAUGGAGAGGUGAAGACCAAAACAACCUUUCAUUUGAUUUCGGGGUUGAGCAUUUAACUGAAGUGGAAAAACAACAAAGUGCCUUAUUAUGGUUUCUGAUAUCUGAAUGUGUCAUCAUCAGCCUUUAAGCUGCAGGCCAGGUCAGUACACACAGUCUGUCAGCCACAGAAAGGCCCUUAGACGGAGUCAGUCACCUCAGCCUUGUUACACUAGUCAGACACAGUAGGUCUCCUUCCACCAUCAUUUAAGUGUGACUCUAGGUAGAGAUACACAAGUCAUUUUUGGUGGUUCCAUAGAGUAGUAAUAUCAGUAGUAUAUCGGUAAUAUACCAAUAGUGUCAGAGUCUAGGGCAUUAGACCCUUUGGUACAAUGUCCUAUCAAUGUCCUAAAACAGGGAUCAUCAACUAGAUUCAGCCACGGGACAAUUUCUUUUGAAGUGCAUGGUCAGGGGGCUGGAACAUAACUACAAAUCAUUUGUAGACUGCGAAUUGACCACAAGAAGCCCAAACAGAAAUGAUAUUUGACUAAAACAUAAUCAUUUCAAACCUUGCUCACGUUUAUAUAUGAUCACAAAUAUCACUCUAUUAUGCGUGGUAAUACUUUGGAAGAGAUGUCCAAAAUUAAAAUCAGCUGAUUUCCCUAUGUUUUAACAGUCUUGGGGGGGGGGGGGGCAAUUAAAAUCCCCUGUGGGCCAAAUUCAGCCCGCGGGCUGCCAGUUGGGUAACCCUGUCCUAAAGGGACAAAUAUAUGAUAAAACAGAGCUGUAACAUGUCCAAUUCGUGUCUGAGAUUGGCCUUAUAGUAUAUCACCGUGACGCUUCUGAGACUCCGAUUGUCCUUGUCUGUUGAGGAGGAGCCUCAGAGUUCCCCAAUUAUUAUUUCCAGUAGUAUGCUACUCAUGGCAGUUCCUAGGUUUUACAAACAAGGACAUCUUGAUAUGCAUCAUCUUUACUGUUAGUAGUGUUAGAAGUGUCAUUCUGGACUGCCUUAAGUAGGAGUUGUCAUUGGCAUAGACAUCCCACUACCCGUGGAGCUGACAUCCCACAUCCCUCUACCAUGAUGUAUCUCUCUACCACCUAUCCCAUUAGAUGAGAACGUGUCUGUUUCUGCCCUCCUGAUUUACUUCCUAUAAAGGAGUAUUGGGUCUGUAGUCUUACUGCUGACUCGACACGCGCUGUGUUAAUUGGAGGUGAAGGGUUUAUGUGAUUGUGGCAGCUAGUGAUUGACUGUAAAGCCUGUGUGUACUUCCUGGUCUGCACCAAAAGAUCGCUCCACAUCCCCCUCUUUAUUUACUAUGCAACAGAAAGGCCUCUGGUGGUGUAUGAAGAGUUUCUGUGUCUCAGAUUGUCUUCAUGUGUGCCAUUCCUUUUCAGUUACAGUAUUUACGUUUACGAAAUGAUUCUGUAGUGCAAUUGCAUAUUAUUAUAAUCAGUUAUAAAUUAUGAAUACGUAUGGAUUCUCAAUCAUUAUUAUGAUUAUGAUACGUGUUAUUGUCAUUGUUAUCAGAAGACAUUGUUAUUUAAGAUAAUGGAUUGACUUUGAAGCGAGGCAAAUAUGAAUAUUUUACAUAUAAUUGUAUUGGCGAUAAAAGAAUGGUAGCAAACAAAUGGUUUCAUUGGUUGUGAGUGAAGAUACAUCAGAACCAAUAAAGAAUGGCAUCCCAUCCCUUAGUAAUGUUACUGUUAUGCUAUUAUCAGAGGUUUUUUAUUUGUGCCAUUUUGACAGCAUUAUUCUUGACCUGGUGUUUUUUUUUCCUGAGUGUGCAAAUCAAGCGUGUUAUACUGAAGGACCCCAUGCUGUCAAACAACUGAUCCUGUUAGCAUUUACUCCAUGGAUGGUGUGCGACCAUACCCAAAUGAUUUCCUAUGAGAAAACAAUAUGUGUAUUUGCAGCCAUUGUUACAAGUUUAUAAUGUAUUUUUCUAUCUUAUUUUAUAUGUGUGUGAGAAAAAAAAUGUUAAAUGACUUACAUAAACGACAAAAGAAGCUACGGUAUUUGUUUGAUUUGAGAUUCUUUGUAGUUUAUUAAAUCUGUUUUUUCCUAAUCCUGGUCCUGGGGAACCAAAGAGGUGCACACCUGAUUCCUCUAACGAUCAACUCAUCAUAAAACCUUGGAUUAGUGGAAUCAGGUGUCUAGUGCUAGGGCAAAAACAAAUAUGUGCACCCCUUUGGGCCCCCAGGACCAGGAUUAAGAAACACUGCAUUAAAUUGACUCCUUGACAAAGUCUUAUCUCUAUUACUGAUUCAGAUCAUUUAACUUUUUCCUUUCCUCCCGUGUUUUGUUGUGACGUGUUAGAGUUAGCCAGUAUUAUUUAAUAAAUGAUUCCAAACAGA